GAUGAACGCUGGCGGCGUGCCUAAUACAUGCAAGCCGAGCGAACAGACGAGGAGCUUGCUCCUCUGACGUUAGCGGCGGACGGGUGAGUAACACGUGGAUAACCUACCUAUAAGACUGGGAUAACUUCGGGAAACCGGAGCUAAUACCGGAUAAUAUAUUGAACCGCAUGGUUCAAUAGUGAAAGACGGUUUUGCUGUCACUUAUAGAUGGAUCCGCGCCGCAUUAGCUAGUUGGUAAGGUAACGGCUUACCAAGGCAACGAUGCGUAGCCGACCUGAGAGGGUGGGCGGGCAGCAGGGAAGUGACACACGCUCGGGACGAAUGCGGGAGGCAGCAGUAGGGAAUGGUCCGUGAUGGUCGAAAGCCUGACAGAGUGUGUGAGCGGGGAAGAAGAAGGUGUUAGGAACGUAAACCUCUGUUAAGGGGACAGAACAAAUGUGCAAGGAACAAUGCACUUCUUGAAGGUGCGUAAUCAGAACGCCACGGCUACGUAUGUC
rnacentral:rRNA from 1 species